UACGUAGGGGGCAAGCGUUGUCCGGAUUUAUUGGGCGUAAAGCGCUCGCAGGUGGUUCGUUGCGUCGUGCGUGAAAGACCCCGGCUCAACUGGGGGAUGUCGUGCGAUACGGGCGGACUGGAGGCCAGUAGGGGGAUGCGGAAUUCCGGGUGUAGUGGUGGAAUGCGUAGAGAUCCGGAGGAACACCAGCGGCGAAGGCGGCAUCCUGGACUGGUCCUGACACUCAGGAGCGAAAGCGUGGGGAGCGAGCCGG
rnacentral:rRNA from 1 species